GGCAGUUCUCAGGUGAUGCACCCCGGAAUCGGGCUCCCUCUCUGGUUCCAAGUGCGUCACCUGAGAACCACA
rfam:Myotis brandtii contig301992, whole genome shotgun sequence.